rnacentral:misc_RNA from 1 species
UGCCUGUGCAACAACUUCCACCUGACAUGCCUAUUCAUUCGUUUGUAAAGGCUUGAAGUGCCUAAAACAUCAAGGGUUUCCUGUGUUGCCUACCUGACAUAUGGUAUUGUUGUGGCUUAUAAUGGUUCUGUUCGUCUGGUGUCAUGCUUAUGAUGUUUGAUGAACCGUAAACAUGUCUCUUUGAACCACAACAUCAAUGCUUGUGUUGAUGUAGUGGCGCAUUGAGCCAUGCUUGGUCUCUUCGAUGUAGUAUCCGUUGUGGUCAUACGGGUCUCGUGGGAUCCUUGUUAUGUCCCCGUUUAGUGUUUACGCUCCCUAAAAUGACUGCCUAACACGACUGUCUCGUGACAGCGUGUUGGGCUUUGUCUAAGAGGAAGGU